AUUGAACGCUGGCGGAAUGCUUUACACAUGCAAGUCGAACGGUAGAGGGGGCAACCCCUUGAGAGUGGCGAACGGGUGAGUAAUAUAUCGGAACGUGCCCAGUCGUGGGGAUAACGUAGCGAAAGUUACGCUAAUACCGCAUACGAUCUAAGGAUGAAAGCGGGGGAUCGCAAGACCUCGCGCGAUUGGAGCGGCCGAUAUCAGAUUAGGUAGUUGGUGGGGUAAAGGCUCACCAAGCCAACGAUCUGUAGCUGGUCUGGGAGGACGACCAGCCACACUGGGACUGAGACACGGCCCAGACUCCUACGGGAGGCAGCAGUGGGGAAUUUUGGACAA
rnacentral:rRNA from 1 species